GUCCACGCCCUAAACGAUGCUGACUAGUUGUUCGGGAUUUUCAUCCUGAGUAACGUAGCUAACGCGUGAAGUCAGCCGCCUGGGGAGUACGGUUGCAAGAUUAAAACUCAAAGGAAUUGACGGGGACCCGCACAAGCGGUGGAUGAUGUGGAUUAAUUCGAUGCAACGCGAAAAACCUUACCUACCCUUGACAUGUGACUAACGAAGUAGAGAUACAUUAGGUGCUCGCAAGAGAAAGUCAACACAGGUGCUGCAUGGCUGUCGU
rnacentral:rRNA from 1 species